rnacentral:rRNA from 1 species
UUGCGGUUAAAAAGCUCGUAGUUGGAUUUCUGUCGGUGAAUGGCGCUCCGCCCCUAGUGGUGAGCAGCCGUCAUAACACCGGCAUCCUCCUAGGGAAUGCUGCUGCACUUUAUUGUGUGGUGCAUGAACUAGGACUUUUACUUUGAGGAAAUGAGAGUGUUUCAAGCAGGCAUGCGCCGUGAAUACGUUAGCAUGGAAUAAUAGCAUCGGACCUCGAUCCAAAGCUGUUGGUUUCUUGGGUCGAAGUAAAGGUGAACUGGGAUUGUUGGGGGCAUUCGUAUUUAACUGUCAGAGGUGAAAUUCUUGGAUUUGUUGAAGACGGACUACUGCGAAAGCAUCUGCCAAAGAUGUUCUCAUUGAUCAAGAACGGAAGUUAGGUGAUCGAAGACGAUCAGAUACCGUCCUAGUCUUAACCAUAAACUAUGCCGACUGGAGAUAGGAGGUCGUUAAAUUGGUGACGCCUUCUGCAUCUUGAGAGAAAUCAAAGUCUUUGGGUUCCGGGGGGAGUAUGGUCGCAAGGCUGAAACUUAAAGGAAUUGACGGAAGGGCACCACCAGGAGUGGAGCCUGCGGCUUAAUUUGACUCAA